rnacentral:lncRNA from 1 species
AUGAAUCCAAGAGGAAUUUUGCCUCACAAAGAAAGAAAUACUAUAAAACCAUUAUGCAAAAUCCAGAUAUUAAAAAAACCCUCUAUCCUAAUAAGCAAAUCAGUAUAAUGGAGAGCAUACCUCAUUAUAAUUCUAAAGAAAAAUAUGCUUUUACUACUUUCACUAGUGUGCUGGACAUCAUACUAAUUUAUGUAAGGAAACAACUAAAAUAGAAAAAAAAAAAUAACAUCAUUAUCUACAAAUAUCAUUACCUGUCUAGGAAACCAAAAGAAUCUAUGACCCUCUCAAAUUCAUGUUAAAUCUAAAGCUCAGCAUGACUGUUCAGAUAGGGUCUUUAGAAUUUCAUUUGAUAGUCCAGGACAAUGAGUGGAAACGUCAUUCCACAAUGCUGCGAUUUGUAUGAGUAGAGGGAAAAAAAAAAUCCUCAUUUUCAGACUUUGUCAUAUGAAAGCGACUGCAUGCCAGGAAGAGUCUACUCCAGAAGCCAAGCAUGCUGUUAUUUUGUGUUCAUGUGUGUGCAUGUGCAUGUUGGUGUUUCCACAUUUGCAGGUGGCAUGUGGAAACCAGAAAGUAAUAUUAGGCUUCCCUAAGCACUUUCCAUUUUAUUCACUGAAGCAGGGUCUCUUGCUGAGCCCGAAGCUCGUAGAUUCAAGUAACCUAACUACUCAGAUAGCCUGAGGACUCCCCUCUUACUUCCCAAGCCUUGGGGUUACAGGCGGCCUGCCCCCACAGCCACCUGCACUUAGAUGGGUUCUGAGAAAGCAAACUCUGGUUCUCGUGUUUGCAGGGAAAGAGCUUUGCCCUCUGAACCAUUUCACUAGCUCCCAUGCUGUUAUUCUUGCAUGUGUGAGAAAAUAAAUUGCUAUAUAUGGUCUGUCCACUGCAGGAAAUGAAAACUAGCUAUUCAUAUGCUAGGUAAGGACUAUUACCACUGAGCAAAACUCACAGCCCUAAACCUUUAUCCAAAAGUGGUAAGCUAAUGAGAAGUACAGCGAUCUAUAGAAAUGAAAAUGCCAUAAUAAAACCCAAUACUUAUGCUAACCUAAAAUUUUGUUUCUUUUAAAGGGAAAUUUUAAAGCACCUUGGUUUAUGCUGUUUUGUGUUAUAUUUAUGGUGUAUACAUGUGUGUGCAAGUGUGGUAUGCAUGUAGAAGUAGAGGCUAAUGUGUAGCAGUCCGUGCUCUCCUUUGACUGUGUGGGUCCCUGGGAUCAAACUCAGUUCCUGCUCACAAGCACCUUUACCUUCUGAGCCAUUUUGCCAGCUCUAGUGUUUUGUGGUACUGUGGCAAUGCAGU